GACGAACGCUGGCGGCGUGCCUAAUACAUGCAAGUCGAACGGUCUUUUCUAUGGAAGCUUGCUUCCACUGAGAAGAUAGUGGCCAACGGGUGAGUACACGUGGGUAACCUGCCCAUAAGAGGGGGAUAACAUCCGGAAACGGGUGCUAAUACCGCAUAGUUUUCUUGAUCGCAUGAUCGAGAAAGGAAAGACGGCCUUUGUGCUGUCGCUUAUGGAGGGACCAGCGGCGGAUUAGUUAGUUGGUGCGGUAACGGCUCACCAAGACGAUGAUACGUAGCCGACCUGAGAGGGUGAUCGGCCACAUUGGGACUGAGACACGGCCCAAACUCCUACGGGAGGCAGCAGUAGGGAAUCUUCCGCAAUGGACGAAAGUCUGACGGAGCAACGCCGCGUGAGUGAAGAAGGUUUUCGGAUCGUAAAACUCUGUUGUCAGAGAAGAACAAGUCGGAGAGUAACUGCUCCGGCCUUGACGGUAUCUGACCAGAAAGCCACGGCUAACUACGUGCCAGCCGCCGCAGUAACAC
rnacentral:rRNA from 1 species